CCAGCCUGCACGAACUCAUUUCUGGUGGGUACCUGCUGCCCUCAGCAAACUUGGGAGCAGCUACAGAGCUGUGGAGGCACAGGAGCUGGAACUACGCACGCACGCAGCGCAGCUCGAGCUCCAAUGUUGUCAGCCUUCCUCUGCUUCCCUAGCCUCAGCUCCACCUCCUCCAAACUGUGAUGCAGCCGAUCCACCAGGCGCAGGAAGUGCACGGCGCUCAGCCAAGACCUUCUCCUGUGUUGCUGCUGCUUUCAUGCAGCUCCUCGUGCUGUCUGACCACGAGGCCAGCAUGCUUGCCUCCAGCCCAACUGUCCUCCUGCCAGAAGUUACAUAACCCAAAGGGAUUCCAAGUCACUGGUGUGCGCUGUCCAUACUUUAGCAUGGCUGUGUGUGUGUGACCCCAAUACCUAUGCUACAGCCAUAUUUUCAAAAUUGAGUGGUAAAGUGACUGUCUCUGAUUUUCUCCAUGUCUGUCUCAUUUUAUCAUGUCCUUCUUUAUCUUUCCUUACCCACCAUACUGGCAGUUCCUACACUUGGUGAUGGUGUUAGCAGGUGUGUGUGGCAGUGCCCUCCUCUUCGCCAUCACACUAGCUGUUAAAGCUGGCAGGUAAUACCUACCAUAUGCAGGUGGCUCACCCCUUGUCUGUUUCCCAUGCUACAGUUCUCUUUACUUUUCACAUGGCGGUGGGACCAAUGGGAAAAUACUGGCAUGACAGUCUCUGUGCCAAUCCAGACCAGCAGUUGCCCGACACCUCUUCUCCAAAGAUGUACUAACCUCUAAGGGUGAGAGACAAGCUCAUGGCUUACAUCUGCUUACUCCAUGCCCACCUAAUAAAGACUGAAACGUUAAAAGGAAGACACAAAAUAGUGUCUGUGUCUACUGUAGUGACACAGCUAUAACCCCAGUAUACAGGAGGCUGAGGCAAGAGAACAUUCAAGAGUUUGAGGCCAAACUACAUCAUAUAAUAAAAUCCUGUUUUUAAAAAAGACUUCUAUAAAUAAUCAUCCCAAGUGAGGUAACCCAGACCCAGAAAGACAAGCAUGUUACAUACGUGUGUGUGUGUGUGUGUGUGUGUGUGUGUGUGUGUGUGUGUGGCUUGAUGUUCUUAUGGGAAUCCUAACAGUGGGAGCAGGGCUGUCCAUGACUUGUCUACUUAUGGAACCCUUUUCCCCUUAUUGGGUUCCCUUGUCCAGCCUUGAUGUGAUGGUAUGUGCCUAGGCUCACUGUAGCUUGUUAUGACCUGUUUGGUUGAUGUCCCUGGGAGGCCUGCUGUUUUGG
rnacentral:lncRNA from 1 species